rnacentral:tRNA from 1 species
AUUUAAAUAGUUUAAUAAAAAUAUUGACUUGUGGUGUCAAAGUUAUAUCAUUAUUUUAAAUA